GAUGAACGCUGGCGGCGUGCCUAAUACAUCCAAGUCGAGCGAACAGACGAGGAGCUUGCUCCUCUGACGUUAGCGGCGGACGGGUGAGUAACACGUGGAUAACCUACCUAUAAGACUGGGAUAACUUCGGGAAACCGGAGCUAAUACCGGAUAAUAUAUUGAACCGCAUGGUUCAAUAGUGAAAGACGGUUUUGCUGUCACUUAUAGAUGGAUCCGCGCCGCAUUAGCUAGUUGGUAAGGUAACGGCUUACCAAGGCGACGAUGCGUAGCCGACCUGAGAGGGUGAUCGGCCACACUGGAACUGAGACACGGUCCAGACUCCUACGGGAGGCAGCAGUAGGGAAUCUUCCGCAAUGGGCGAAAGCCUGACGGAGCAACGCCGCGUGAGUGAUGAAGGUCUUCGGAUCGUAAAACUCUGUUAUUAGGGAAGAACAAAUGUGUAAGUAACUAUGCACGUCUUGACGGUACCUAAUCAGAAAGCCACGGCUAACUACGUG
rnacentral:rRNA from 1 species